rnacentral:rRNA from 2 species
CCUACGGGAGGCAGCAGUGGGGAAUUUUGGACAAUGGGGGCAACCCUGAUCCAGCAAUGCCGCGUGAGUGAAGAAGGCCUUCGGGUUGUAAAGCUCUUUUGUCAGGGAAGAAACACCGGCUCUAACACAGUCCGGGAAUGACGGUACCUGAAGAAUAAGCACCGGCUAACUACGUGCCAGCAGCCGCGGUAAUACGUAGGGUGCGAGCGUUAAUCGGAAUUACUGGGCGUAAAGCGUGCGCAGGCGGUUAUACAAGACAGGCGUGAAAUCCCCGGGCUUAACCUGGGAAUGGCGCCUGUGACUGUAUAGCUAGAGUGUGUCAGAGGGGGGUAGAAUUCCACGUGUAGCAGUGAAAUGCGUAGAUAUGUGGAGGAAUACCAAUGGCGAAGGCAGCCCCCUGGGAUAACACUGACGCUCAUGCACGAAAGCGUGGGGAGCAAACAGGAUUAGAUACCCUGGUAGUCCACGCCCUAAACGAUGCUGACUAGUUGUUCGGGAUUUACAUCCUGAGUAACGUAGCUAACGCGUGAAGUCAGCCGCCUGGGGAGUACGGUCGCAAGAUUAAAACUCAAAUGAAUUGACGG